UAGACAGCCCUGGAGACUGAAAUCUUCUAGAUAUACACAGAACAGACACAGCAGGGACAUCAGUAGGGCCUGCUUUCUUGACGUUCUACCUUGACCCUGACCUCGAGGUCCAUCUCUGUUGCUGAAAGCAUAGUCCUUUCUAGGCCCCUCUGGUCUUUUGGUGUC
ensembl:misc_RNA